UACAGAGACUGCGAGCGUUAUUCGGAUUCACUGGGCGUAAAGGGUGCGCAGGCGGCCGUGUGUGUGAGGCGGGAAAGCCUGGAGCUUAACUCCAGAAUUGCACCUCAAACUACAUGGCUAGAGCAUUGGGGAGGGUAGCGGAAUUCACGGUGUAGCAGUGAAAUGCGUAGAUAUCGUGAGGAACACCAGAGGCGAAGGCGGCUACCUGGACAAUUGCUGACGCUCAGGCACGAAAGCGUGGGGAGCAAAAGGG
rnacentral:rRNA from 1 species